rnacentral:tRNA from 1 species
AGUGGUAAAAUUAGCCUUCCAAGCUAACG